GCGUUGUACUUGUAUCUAAACUAUCUGUUUGUGCUGUAGCCCUAAGUAUUUGGUUGCUGUACCGCGACAUCUGCAGUGCUGUCAACCAGAGACAGUGUUGGUCUUGGCAUUCAACUUGAAUGGUGGCAGUAUUUCAGCAUACCUGCAAGUAGUAAACGAUUCCGGACAAGUCAUUACGCAAACAAAUUCAAUCAAUGUAACUCACCCGUGGCUUUCAGUCUUACCCUACCUUGUCAGAAGUUUGCCAAACUAGAUGACCCUAAUGCCGAGCGUUACGUGAGUAUAAGAGCAGUGGGAAGUGGAUCCACCUCGUUCAGUAAGGUCACAAGAGUCGCAGUCAAAGCAAGCCCUUCGCUUGUGUUCGUACAAACAGACAAACCCGUCUACGUGGAAUACGAUGAAGGUAAGGCAACGUGAGAUGUCGUUUUCUUCGAGGGUUACUGUUUGUCUCUUUCCAGUUCACAUUCGAGUUGCCGUUCUUGGAUGCAAUUUUCGUCCGUGCUGCGGAGGCGACAAAGAAGUGAAUAACACUUGACUUUGAUAAGAGCAAGAUUGAGAAAAUAAUCAUAUUUUUUCUCUUUUAGUGCGUUUGUAAUGUCAAUUUAGAUAUCAGGAACCCACAAAACAUUAUUGUUGAUCGAUUGCCCAUACCAUCAUGUUCUUCUGACGGAGCGAUCAAACGUAAAGAUUUCAAGCUGGGGCCUUCUCCUGUGCAAGGUGACUGGCCAAUUAUUGCCAAGCGUACCUGUGAUG